CCUACGGGGGGCUGCAGUGGGGAAUAUUGGACAAUGGGCGAAAGCCUGAUCCAGCCAUGCCGCGUGUGUGAAGAAGGCCUUCGGGUUGUAAAGCACUUUCAGUGGGGAAGAAAGCCUUGGGGCUAAUACCCUCGAGGAAGGACAUCACCCACAGAAGAAGCACCGGCUAACUCCGUGCCAGCAGCCGCGGUAAUACGGAGGGUGCGAGCGUUAAUCGGAAUUACUGGGCGUAAAGCGCGCGUAGGCGGUCUGAUAAGCCGGUUGGGAAAGCCCCGGGCUCAACCUGGGAACGGCAUCCGGAACUGUCAGGCUAGAGUGCAGGAGAGGAAGGUAGAAUUCCCGGUGUAGCGGUGAAAUGCGUAGAGAUCGGGAGGAAUACCAGUGGCGAAGGCGGCCUUCUGGACUGACACUGACGCUGAGGUGCGAAAGCGUGGGUAGCAAACAGGAUUAGAUACCCGUGUAGUC
rnacentral:rRNA from 1 species